CUAGAAUGAAUUGGACCUUAGAUUUUCAUCUCAAUAAUAAUAAUAAUAAACCUUUGAUUUUCAUUUCAACAACAAUAAUAAUAGUUGGCAUCUUUAAAGUGCUCAGAAGUACAUAUGGGAGGUCCAGUUGAAGUUAUGAAAUCAUUGUACCACUACAAAGACAAUUACAUUUUGAAACCUCAAUGUAAACUUUGUAGCAAAAAAUACACAAUGAGAUAUACUGGAGGAAUGGUGCAUAAUACAUGACUUUGUUCCUUUUUUUAGAUUAUUGUAAAAGAGAAGUGCAUAAAGGGCAUUCCCAUCAGCCAAAUCCAGGAGAGACUCCUUUAGGUCCUCCGUCUGUGCUAGACUGUGGACAAGGUCAUCAGAUUCAGAUGUGCAGUAAACAAGCACUAAAUUUUGUCCUUUAAAGCUAGAGUUCGAGCUGUUAUCAUCAAGUUAUGCUGCUAUUUUUUGGGCUGAUGACUACUAUGGAGUUAAAAGAGUUGAUGGUAUCACCCUUCAUAUAAAAGUGCAAGUGAUUAAAAGAUGAAACAGUGAAGAUCCUUCCAAUUAAUUAGAAAUAAAGCUAUACACCAAAACAGGAUAGGAUCAUAGAAUUAAACAUGGCUAUUGAAGUGGGAAAUGGUAAAUGGCAUGGUUCAGUUGGUGGCAUAGUUUGUGCACCUAUUGAGAAGGUUUGGACCUUGGUCUCUAAAACUAAAAGACUACCCGAAUGGAUGCCAAUGGUAGAAAGAUGCAGUUCCUUGGCUGAUGACGAUGAACCGGGCUAUGUUAGGCUUGUCUUAGGUUUCAUGUUUCCUCAACAAGAUGGAGAAAGGUCAUGGAACAAGGAGAGGUUGGUAGCUGUUGCUUGGAUCCAACUCAUCCAAGGGAAAGUAAGUAAAUGAGCAGAAAAGACAAGAAAGAAAGGACGCGCCAGGUAGGGGUCGAACCUACGACCUUCUGCUUAGGAAACAGACGCUCUAUCCACUGAGCUACAGGCGCAACUUUGAUAAUGCAAAUAAUCAGAUAAAUACUGAAUAAAUAAUAUACCAAGGAUUGACUUUCACCAUUUAUAUGAAAAGACUCUGCCAAUUGCCAUAA